AGUGAACGCUGGCGGUAGGCCUAACACAUGCAAUUCGAACGGCAGCACAGUAAGAGCUUGCUCUUACGGGUGGCGAGUGGCGGACGGGUGAGGAAUACAUCGGAAUCUACUUUUUCGUGGGGGAUAACGUAGGGAAACUUACGCUAAUACCGCAUACGACCUACGGGUGAAAGCAUGGUAUCUUCGGACCUUGCGCGAUUGUAUGAGCCGAUGUCGGAUUAGCUAGUUGGCUGGGUAAAGGCCCACCAAGGCGACGAUCCGUAGCUGGUCUGAGAGGAUGAUCAGCCACACUGGAACUGAGACACGGUCCAGACUCCUACGGGAGGCAGCAGUGGGGAAUAUUGGGCAAUGGGCGCAAGCCUGAUCCAGCCAUACCGCGUGAGUGAAGAAGGCCUUCGGGUUGUAAAGCCCUUUUGUUGGGAAAGAAAAGAAGCAGGUUAAUACCCCGCUGUUCUGACGGUACCCAAAGAAUAAGCACCGGCUAACUUCGUG
rnacentral:rRNA from 1 species